UUAACAGUGGCCCAAUAUUCUACGACCCGAGCCCAAUCCCUUUACCUCUCUUCUUUUCCUUUUUCACAACAAAAACAGAAACCCAUUGACAACAUACGAACAAUAAUGACAAUUACAACCAUCCAAAGACCCGACGACCCAUACCCGAUAACCAACAAUCAACUCCCUAUCCCAUCGGCUCCAACGAAGCCGGUGACCCGCCAACCCAUUUCUCAGCCACAACCCGAUAUCAGCCAACCAUCAAUUCCCCCAAUCCAGCGUACAACCGACCAAAUAUCAGCCGUAAUCCAUUCACAACCCGAUACAAUAGUUUCAACCCGACUCUGACCCGAGCAACAUCAAUAACCACUAUUUCCAACAGUUCAUGACCAAAUCGUUUGAAAAUUGUAUGAUUUUCGUAUGAUUUUAUAGCUCACUCCUUAUCCCUUUUUCAAAUUUUGAAUUUUUUCCCCUUUUGAAAUCCCCAAACUAACCCCGAUAGUUCCCUAUAAAAAUCUUACUAUUGAGCAAAAGAGGGGAAGUCUUGAAGGGGGUUUUCUCUAUUCUCUAGAUAGAUCUCUUUAGAGCAAGAAAGAGGUGGAGAAAUUUUUUUUUGAAAAGCAAAAGCAGAAAAAAAAGGGAAAGGAAUUGGUCGCAAGAAAAGGAGAUAAUUUUCUUUGGUAAAAUCUUUAGGAAAGGUAUGUCUUGUCGAUUAUUUCGUAGCGGAAUUGAAUUUCUUAAUGGUGGUGAAGUCCGGAGGAGCUCGAGGUUCCGUUUUGCUGCUCUGAAACAGGUUACGCUCCGCACACUUUAGUUUUUGAUUAUUUCUGCUUCAUCUUAUCAUUCUGUAGACAUAGCGUUGUUCGUGAUAAUAUUGUAUGCUGGGAGUAGCUAUAGAGGCCUCGUCGAUCGUAAAAUUUGAUUGAUCGUUAUGAUGUUUGCUGAAUCAUUGGUUAUAUAUCCCAAAUUGUGGUUUAUUUGAACAUACUUUUUUGUGGGGAUAUGUUGAUUAGUUAAAGCAUUGUUGAUUACCAAGUUGCUGCCUUUCCUUAUUCAUUGCGUUAUCCUGAGUGAAGGACCCUGUUGUGAGAUGUUAUAUAUCAUCGACUAGUCUUAACUUUGUCGGACGAAAGUCAAAAUGUGUAAUUUUUCUUUAAAUUUGUUCAGAACUUUGGGUCAGUUGGCUUAGAUUUCAUGUUUUCUUUUGUCGGGCUUGCUUUCAAAACUGUUAUAACAUUAGAGUUCAUUCAUCCUGAGCAUAUUAUCUUUAUAUUUCAGAGUAUUAUGAUUUGACUAGCUGUUGUAGUGUUCGAAUGUUUUUAGUCUAUUUGCAUCUUUUUAAGUGUAGUUUAGUUUCGUUUUCUUCAUCGCUUGCUUCGUAAACCCGUAAUCGCCAUGUUGUUUGCUUGCUGUGAGUAGCUGUAGAAAGGCUUAUGGGCCAUAGGAUUGGUAUUCUGUAGAAUGCUUUAAAAAAAUAAAAUAUUUUAAGUUUUCGAGUAGUGAAUGCCCUCUUAGCCGUCUUUUUCUUUUUCUCGACGUCAUAAUGCUGUAUUUUCUCAAUAAGGCUUAGUCAAACUGAUAAAUUUGCUUAAGGCCGCAGUUAAUCAAUUGAUAAAGUUGUUUGAGGUUGCAAAUUUUACUUUUUCAUAGAUGGUUUAUUUUGUUAAAAAAUGUUUUCUAUUCAAUUAGUAGUUCACUGUUUACAUACCAUUAGUGCAAGUGACAGGUUCCUGAGUUGUUUUUUUUUUGUGAAAGAUGCUUUCUUUUCAAUCGGUGAUUCACUGUUCUAUAAGUAUUAGGUGAUAAACACGUUGAUAUUUUCUUAACUAAAACUUGAAAAUCAUCUUGUGCAUUCUAUUAAGCACAAAUAACAGAUGUGUGACUUUACCCAUUUCUCAGGUGGUUGACUUGCAAGGCAUGUGCUGCCAGUUCAUUGUUUACUAAUCUGGAUUAUAUUUUAUUCAAUUGAACUUUAUGGCGAAUUAGCAUGAAUCACCUUGGAUUCAAAUCAUGUCUGCUUCAUGUUGAACCCAGUAAAGUGAAAAUUAAAAAUUGAAUCAUGAAACCUUCCUUUCCAAAGGUUAUAUUGAGCGUUAAAUUUUUUUAUGUCUUUGCUUGAAUCCAUGAAACUGUCUUGACUUGAGCAUAUACAUGAGUUUUUCUUGGUAAUUUCCAUUGGCAACUUGGUAUAAUGUAUGAUUCUUGUCGUGAUGCGUGAUCAGUCUUCUUAUCAAUUUCAAAUCACGUAUGUUUUGUUGUUAAUUGUUUCAAAUGUUUAAUAAUUAAUUUGAAUUACCAAUUCUGGAUUAAUAUUGAUUAACUUACUUUUAAUUUAAAAAUUUAUUUAGUUAGUAUAUGUUUCACUCCAAAUUUGUUAAUCAUUUUACAUUUUGCGGGUUGUAAAUUCAGAAUAAGUAUUAAUUCUUUUUUAUCAUUUCUGUGCAUGAACCCACCUUGGAGUCCAAAUGGACUUUUACCCCUUUGCAUUUCAUAAAGGGCCAAUGAGGCCCAUCCCUUGAGUCAAUCUCGAAGAGCUAAGGUCAAAAGUUAGUCGCAUGGCAUACCGAUCCGAGGAGUCGAAAGAAGAAAUGGGUUGAAGUCCAUCUUUGAAGCUGCUAAGCGACUCAAAGUCUUGUUUUUCAUUUUAUUUAUUUAUUUAAUUAUUGUUGUCUUUAUUUAUUAAUUUAUUCAUUUAUUUUAUUAUUCAUUUGGGCCUGGAAGCUAAAGUUGUAAAUUUAAUACAGGUGGAAAAAUUUUUGGGUUCACGAGCCUGAAAAAGUAGUUUAGGAUAGGUAACGGGCCAAAGCCCGACAUUAGAUUAGGACAUGUGCAAGUGGGCCAAAAGCCUAAUAGAUUUGGGCCCAAUGGCCUAAGUCUUUUAUUCCC
rnacentral:lncRNA from 1 species